rnacentral:rRNA from 1 species
AUACAAAAUAUACAAAUGAAUUUUUUUAUUUUGUAGUUAAAUUGAUUAAAUUGUUAAGUUAAAUGUUUAUAAAUAAGGUGAAAUUUUUUAUAAAAAUAAAAUUUUUAAGUAAAUUAAUUGAGGCUAUUAGAUUUAAAUAAUAAACUAGGAUUAGAUACCCUAUUAUUUUAAAAUUAAAAAAUUUAUGAUUAGGUAGUAAUAGUUAUGAUCUUGAAACUUAAAAAAUUUGGCGGUAUUUUAAUCUAAUUAGAGGAAUCUGUUCCAUAAUCGAUAAUCCACGAUAAAUUUUACAUAAUUUGAUUUAGUUUGUAUAUCGUCGUUAUAAGAAAAUUUUAUAAGGAUAUUAAUUUUCUAAAUUUUGAAUUUUAAUUUAUUUCAGAUCAAGGUGCAGCUUAUAAUUAUGAGGAAAUGGAUUACAAUAAAUUUAUUUAUAUGAAUAAUAGAGUGAAUAUUUUAUUUGAAGGUGGAUUUAAUAGUAAAUUAAAUUAUAUAAUUUAAUUGAUUUUAGCUCUAAAAUAUGCACAUAUCGCCCGUCGCUCUCUUUUUUAAAAAGAGAUAAGUCGUAACAAAGUAGAUGUACUGGAAAGUGUAUCUAGAAUGAAUAC